UACGGGAGGAUGCAAGCGUUAUCCGGAUUUAUUGGGUUUAAAGGGUGCGCAGGUUGUUUGAUAAGUCAGUGGUGAAAGUCUGUCGCUUGACGGUAGGAUUGCCAUUGAUACUGUUAGACUUGAAUAUGGAUGAGGUAGGCGGAAUGUGUAGUGUAGCGGUGAAAUGCAUAGAUAUUACACAGAACACCGAUUGCGAAGGCAGCUUACUAAUCCAUCAUUGACGCUGAGGCACGAAAGCCGUGGGGAUCAAA
rnacentral:rRNA from 1 species